AACGAACGCUGGCGGCAUGCCUAACACAUGCAAGUCGAACGAGACCUUCGGGUCUAGUGGCGCACGGGAGCGUAACGCGUGGGAAUCUGCCCUUGGGUUCGGAAUAACAGUGAGAAAUUACUGCUAAUACCGGAUGAUGUCUUCGGACCAAAGAUUUAUUGCCCAAGGAUGAGCCCGCGUAGGAUUAGCUAGUUGGUGGGGUAAUGGCCUACCAAGGCGACGAUCCUUAGCUGGUCUGAGAGGAUGAUCAGCCACACUGGGACUGAGACACGGCCCAGACUCCUACGGAAGGCAGCAGUGGGAAUAUUGGACAAUGGGCGAAAGCCUGAUCCAGCAAUGCCGCGUGAGUGAUGAAGGCCUUAGGGUUGUAAAGCUCUUUUACCAGGGAUGAUAAUGACAGUACCUGGAGAAUAAGCUCCGGCUAACUCCGUGCCAGCAGCCGCCGUAAUAC
rnacentral:rRNA from 1 species